rnacentral:rRNA from 1 species
UACGUAGGGGGCAAGCGUUGUCCGGAUUUAUUGGGCGUAAAGAGCGUGUAGGCGGCCAUACAGGUCCGUUGUGAAAACUCGAGGCUUAACCUCGAGACGUCGAUGGAAACCGUAUGGCUAGAGUCCGGAAGAGGAGAGUGGAAUUCCUGGUGUAGCGGUGAAAUGCGCAGAUAUCAUUUGGAACGCCAAUGGUGAAAACAGGUAGCUGGGGAUGUGCUGACGCUGAGACACGAAAGCCAGGGGAGCGAACGGG